UCGGCAUCACCUGACCUUUGAAGGAGGAGUCAGCGCCAUCUUGAGUGAGCAGUCAGGUCUGAGUGAGGAGAGCAGCGUUCUUCAUGUUUGCCCUGAGGAGCAGCAAGCUCCUGGACUCCGGCAGUGGAAUGUUCAGUCUCCACUCCGUCAGAAGAAGAAGAACCAGCGAGAGCCUA